GCCACGGUGGUCUAGCGGUUAGAACGCUGGCCUUGUAAUCCUGGAGUCUCGGGUGCUGGUCUUGUAAUCCUGGGGUCUCGGGUUCGAUUCCCGGCCGUGGCC
rnacentral:tRNA from 1 species